rnacentral:rRNA from 1 species
CUUGGUCAUUUAGAGGAAGUAAAAGUCGUAACAAGGUUUCCGUAGGUGAACCUGCGGAAGGAUCAUUAUUGAAAUAAACCUGAUGGGUUGUUGCUGGUUCUCUAGGGAGCAUGUGCACGCCUUGUCAUCUUUAUAUCUCCACCUGUGCACUUUUUGUAGACCUUUCAGGUCUAUGUUGCUUCAUUUACCCCAAUGUAUGUUAAUAGAAUGUUGUGACUAUAUAAUAUAUACAACUUUCAGCAACGGAUCUCUUGGCUCUCGCAUCGAUGAAGAACGCAGCGAAAUGCGAUAAGUAAUGUGAAUUGCAGAAUUCAGUGAAUCAUCGAAUCUUUGAACGCACCUUGCGCUCCUUGGUAUUCCGAGGAGCAUGCCUGUUUGAGUGUCAUUAAUAUAUAAAUCAAUCUUCUCUUGAUGAGUGGUUUGGAUGUGGGGGUUUGCUGGCAGCCUCUUUGAGGAUUCAGCUCCCCUGAAAUGCAUUAGCAGAACAAACCCGUUCAUUGGUGUGAUAACUAUCUACGCUAUUGAAUGUGAGGUGGCAGUUCAGCUUUCUAACAGUCUUUGGACAAAUUCAUCAUUAAUGUGACCUCAAAUCAGGUAGGACUACCCGCUGAACUUAAGCAUAUCAAUAAGCGGAGGA